AAGACGUUACAUGUUUUGCUUAGUCGAUCGUUAUAGACGGUUAACUUAGGACUAGUAUAUAAGUAAGUAUACACUUAUCUUUUUAGAGGUCCACAAUUGUACAAAAACUCUGUAAAACUUAAAGUAUUCGUGUGUUUGUGAGAAAAGAGUCAAGAAUGUAUGUAUAUGCGUUCCAUUUUUUACAAAUCAAAGUUUUUAUUGAAAUU
rnacentral:lncRNA from 1 species